CCACCCAACAAACAUAAUGUGUUCCAGUACACAGAUUUUGUAGAACAUAAAGAGAAAAUGGCUGCCCUCUACCAUUACAUCUAGGUAAAGAAUUCUAUUAUCUUGUGGCAGCCUGAAAGAAGUGCUGUUUUGUUGCCUUAUAAUGACAACUGGAAAACAUGAAAGGAAAUUGAGCAUUACUGCAGCUGAGUUCAUGCUAAGUUCACUAUGAAAUACCACAUCCUUCGGAAGAUGCAGGGCUGGAACCAGCAACCACUUGGGAGUCUCAGCUACAUUGGCCUGAUAUGAAAAAGUUUAGAACAAUUCAGUAUUUUCUAUCUUACGGCCUGCCCCUAGCCAUGUUAUUUGUUGAGACCUGUGAUCAGAUUACUGAAAGAUUACACUU